GGGGGCAGACCCAGGCCCAGGGGGGCAGACCCAGGCCCAGGGGGGCAGACCCAGGCCCAGGGGGGCAGACCCAGGCCCAGGGGGGCAGACCCAGGACCAGGGGGUAGAACCAGGUGCUAACCAGGACCUAGCAUCAAGCAUGUGGUCCUCAUUUGGUCCUCAUCUGGUCCUCAUCUGGUCCUCAUCUGGUCCUCAUCGGGCCCUGAUCGGGCCCAGCACAGAAGUGGUGCCUGAGACAGCGCUGGUUUUUGGGAGCCGGGUCGUGGUUGGUGCGAACACAAAAACGGGUUCCAAGUUGUGGCUCCCGGCCCUGAUUAGGCCCAGGAACCAGUUUGGUGAAAACCAGGAAACAGAGUCCAAAGACAGCAGCACUGGAGGGACGGGUGUGUGUGUGUGUGUGUGUGUGUGUGUGUGCGCGUGUCUCACCUUGAUUUUCUGGCCAAUCAGCAUGGAGCAUUCUCCGCGGUGCAGUUGCGGCACACAGCGCGGGGUCAGGGAUCUGGGUCAGGAGUCUUGGUCAGGGUCUGGGUCAGGGGUCAGAGGUCUGGGUCAGGAGUCUUGGUCAGGGUCUGGGUCAGGGAUCUGGGUCAGGAGUCUUGGUCAGGGUCUGGGUCAGGGGUCAGAGGUCUGGGUCAGGAGUCUUGGUCAGGGUCUGGGUCAGGGGUCUGGGUCAGAGGUCUGGGUCAGGGUCUGGGUCAGGGGUCAGGGGUCUGGGUCAGGAGUCUUGGUCAGGGUCUGGGUCAGGGGUCUGGGUCAGAGGUCUGGGUCAGGGUCUGGGUCAGGGGUCAGGGGUCUGGGUCAGGGGUCUGGGUCAGGGUCUGGGUCAGGGUCUGGGUCAGGGGUCAGAGGUCUGGGUCAGGAGUCUUGGUCAGGGUCUGGGUCAGGGGUCUGGGUCAGAGGUCUGGGUCAGGGUCUGGGUCAGGGGUCAGGGGUCUGGGUCAGGGUCUGGGUCAGGGGUCUGGGUCAGGGGUCAGGGGUCAGGGGUCUGGGUCAGGGUCUGGGUCAGGGGUCAGAGGUCUGGGUCAGGAGUCUGGGUCAGGGUCUGGGUCAGGGGUCAGGGGUCAGAGGUCUGGGUCAGGGUCUGGGUCAGGGGUCAGGGGUCAGAGGUCUGGGUCAGGAGUCUGGGUCAGGGGUCUGGGUCAGGGUCUGGGUCAGGGGUCAGGGGUCUGGGUCAGGGGUCUAUGUCAGGAGUCUGGGUCAGGGGUCAGGGGUCUGGGUCAGGGUCAGGGUCUGGGUCUGGGUCAGGGGUCAGGGAUCGGUGUGUUUUUUGGUGCAGCGGAGAAAAAGAAACAAAAGCUGGACAUGAAGCAGACCGUCGUCCCCCGCCAGGCCCUGACCCGGGACCGGCGGUCCUCCAGCCCCUGACCCGGGACCGGCGGUCCUCCAGGCCCUGACCCGGGACCGGCGGUCCUCCAGGCCCUGACCCGGGACCGGCGGUCCUCCAGGCCCUGACCCGGGACCGGCGGUCCUCCAGGCCCUGACCCGGGACCGGCGGUCCUCCAGGCCCUGACCCGGGACCGGCGGUCCUCCAGCCCCUGACCCGGGACCGGCGGUCCUCCAGGCCCUGACCCGGGACCGGCGGUCCUCCAGCCCCUCACGCUGCUGCUGCUGCUUCUUCUUCUUCUGUGGUAACG
rnacentral:lncRNA from 1 species